rnacentral:rRNA from 1 species
GGUGGCUUUUUAUUUUUUUAUGGAGAGUUUGAUCCUGGCUCAGGAUGAACGCUGGCGGCGUGCUUAACACAUGCAAGUCGAACGAUGAAGCCCAGCUUGCUGGGUGGAUUAGUGGCGAACGGGUGAGUAACACGUGAGUAACCUGCCCCCGACUCUGGGAUAAGCCCGGGAAACUGGGUCUAAUACCGGAUAUUACCUUUGACCGCAUGGUUGUUGGUGGAAAGAUUUAUCGGUGGGGGAUGGACUCGCGGCCUAUCAGCUUGUUGGUGAGGUAAUGGCUCACCAAGGCGACGACGGGUAGCCGGCCUGAGAGGGUGACCGGCCACACUGGGACUGAGACACGGCCCAGACUCCUACGGGAGGCAGCAGUGGGGAAUAUUGCACAAUGGGCGAAAGCCUGAUGCAGCGACGCCGCGUGAGGGAUGACGGCCUUCGGGUUGUAAACCUCUUUCAGUAGGGAAGAAGCGAAAGUGACGGUACCUGCAGAAGAAGCGCCGGCUAACUACGUGCCAGCAGCCGCGGUAAUACGUAGGGCGCAAGCGUUAUCCGGAUUUAUUGGGCGUAAAGAGCUCGUAGGCGGUUUGUCGCGUCUGCCGUGAAAGUCCGAGGCUCAACCUCGGAUCUGCGGUGGGUACGGGCAGACUAGAGUGAUGUAGGGGAGACUGGAAUUCCUGGUGUAGCGGUGAAAUGCGCAGAUAUCAGGAGGAACACCGAUGGCGAAGGCAGGUCUCUGGGCAUUUACUGACGCUGAGGAGCGAAAGCAUGGGGAGCGAACAGGAUUAGAUACCCUGGUAGUCCAUGCCGUAAACGUUGGGCACUAGGUGUGGGGGACAUUCCACGUUUUCCGCGCCGUAGCUAACGCAUUAAGUGCCCCGCCUGGGGAGUACGGCCGCAAGGCUAAAACUCAAAGGAAUUGACGGGGGCCCGCACAAGCGGCGGAGCAUGCGGAUUAAUUCGAUGCAACGCGAAGAACCUUACCAAGGCUUGACAUGUGCCAGACCGCCUCAGAGAUGGGGUUUCCCUUCGGGGCUGGUUCACAGGUGGUGCAUGGUUGUCGUCAGCUCGUGUCGUGAGAUGUUGGGUUAAGUCCCGCAACGAGCGCAACCCUCGUUCCAUGUUGCCAGCACGUAAAGGUGGGGACUCAUGGGAGACUGCCGGGGUCAACUCGGAGGAAGGUGGGGAUGACGUCAAAUCAUCAUGCCCCUUAUGUCUUGGGCUUCACGCAUGCUACAAUGGCCGGUACAAUGGGUUGCGAUACUGUGAGGUGGAGCUAAUCCCUAAAAGCCGGUCUCAGUUCGGAUUGGGGUCUGCAACUCGACCCCAUGAAGUCGGAGUCGCUAGUAAUCGCAGAUCAGCAACGCUGCGGUGAAUACGUUCCCGGGCCUUGUACACACCGCCCGUCAAGUCACGAAAGUUGGUAACACCCGAAGCCGAUGGCCUAACCACCUUGUGUGGGGGGAGUCGUCGAAGGUGGGACUGGCGAUUGGGACUAAGUCGUAACAAGGUAGCCGUACCGGAAGGUGCGGCUGGAUCACCUCCUUUCU